rnacentral:rRNA from 1 species
GAUGAACGCUGGCGGCGUGCCUAAUACAUGCAAGUCGAGCGAACAGAUGAGGAGCUUGCUCCUCUGACGUUAGCGGCGGACGGGUGAGUAACACGUGGAUAACCUACCUAUAAGACUGGGAUAACUUCGGGAAACCGGAGCUAAUACCGGAUAAUAUAUUGAACCGCAUGGUUCAAUAGUGAAAGACGGUUUUGCUGUCACUUAUAGAUGGAUCCGCGCCGCAUUAGCUAGUUGGGAAGGUAACGGCUUACCAAGGCAACGAUGCGUAGCCGACCUGAGAGGGUGAUCGGCCACACUGGAACGGAGACACGGUCCAGACUCCUACGGGAGGCAGCAGUAGGGAAUCUUCCGCAAUGGGCGAAAGCCUGACGGAGCAACGCCGCGUGAGUGAUGAAGGUCUUCGGAUCGUAAAACUCUGUUAUUAGGGAAGAACAAAUGUGUAAGUAACUAUGCACGUCUUGACGGUACCUAAUCAGAAAGCCACGGCUAACUACGUG